rnacentral:misc_RNA from 1 species
AUCUCCAAGAAUCAUAGCAAACAAAUUCACAGUGAACAAGCAUGGAUUUUUUCCCCUUUCAAUUAGAUUCAAUUAGGAGUAAAAAGCUAUUACAGCUAAGAACAUUUUACGUAGUUGUAAUGGUUCAGCUUAGCAGGUUCCUGAUGAGGAGAUUUUGAUUCAAUCCAAAGCAUCAGGUCUUUUUUAUUAUAAUGAUUUUUGGGAAUAUGAAAUGG